rnacentral:rRNA from 1 species
UACGUAGGGUGCAAGCGUUAAUCGGAAUUACUGGGCGUAAAGCGUGCGCAGGCGGCUAUGCAAGACAGAUGUGAAAUCCCCGGGCUCAACCUGGGAACUGCAUUUGUGACUGCAUGGCUAGAGUGCGGCAGAGGGGGAUGGAAUUCCGCGUGUAGCAGUGAAAUGCGUAGAUAUGCGGAGGAACACCGAUGGCGAAGGCAAUCCCCUGGGCCUGCACUGACGCUCGAUGCACGAAAGCGUGGGGAGCAAACAGG